rnacentral:lncRNA from 1 species
UAGAGACAUUUGGGAAGAGGUGUUGAGUGUUUUAUAAAAGAAGAACUUCAGAUCGAGCCUAAUUAACCUUGGUCCGAAUUACCUAGCUUACUCCAUUAAGAAUGUGCAUUUGGGAGUCAGGUUGCCUUGAUUUGAACAUUACCUCCACCGCUUUAGAUUCCUGGAUAAGUUAUUUCACCUCCCCGAGCCUCAGUUUCCUCCUCUGUGAAAUGGGAAUAAGUACAGUACCUACCACACAAAGUGAAGAUGAGAUAAGGUAACAUACAUAAAACCCUUACCUGAUUGUGUGGCAUUUAGAAAACAUUUAGUGAUUGUUGGCUGUUAUGAUUUAUUAUUGCUGUCUUCUUUAUGAUUAUCCACACAACACCAACUCUGUACCAAGCCUUGUACUUGGCACUGCAACCACGAAGAGGAAUAAAACUGUCUCUGUGCUCCAGGAGUUCAUAGUCAAAUACACAGGGCAGGUGAAAGUCAGCAGGCAGCUGUUCACAUAUUAGUAUGAAUUAGCUUCAUAAACCACUUGUCUCUGAAAGGGGGAAGUUUGUGAGAUCAAGUCCGUAGGAGAGAGAGGUUCAUACCGUGGAAAACACUUGCCUGCACCUAGAACAUCAGGGGAAUUCAUCCAUCCUGUUUUGUUGUACUGGGAUCAGAGUGGGGAUACAGAGCUGACCUCUGGGACAGAAACCAGGGAAAUCAGCUUCCAGGCAGAUUCUUCCAGAUUUUGCUGGUCCUUGGCCUGAGGAAGUUCCCUGCAGGAGGUGGGGGAGGGGGAAGGCAUCCGCCUAAAGUGCCAGAAAGGAAAAAUCUUCUGGGCCUGCCAAAAGCACAUCAUUGUUCCCACCAUACCCCAGCCUCAGACCCACCUCUGCGGGGACCUCCGCCCUGCCUUGGCCUUGAACUUGGGAACGCUGACUUCUCUGCAUUCUGUUCGCUCGGGAAGAGCUGCGCGGCCUCUUCUGGGAAGUAGGCUCGACCUCCUGCCCAUGUUCCCUGCUCCUCCCCUCGACGGGGGCAGAGACUGCACGGGGCCUGGGCCACCGCCGUGGUCUGUGAGGAGGCUCGGUUCAGAGACGCCAGCUGGGGCUGGACACAGACCACAGGCCAGCAGGAAACCGACAGUCCUCUGCUCGCUGUGAAGCCAAGACUCAAGUUUUGCUCCAGCUUGGAGUCGGGCAUCCUGUAGCACACCCGGACCCCAGCUGGACCGCAUUGCCAAGGCCUUUCUGAUGGCGGUGAGGAGCUUGUCCGUCGGUCCAGCACCCCCACCUUCGCUUCGGCACGGGAACAAAGUGAGCCCAGGGUGCAGCCGAGAUCUGAUGAAAGUGACACAGCGGGUUGGUGGCAGGGGUCACAUCUAGGCCCAGGCCUCCUGACUUCCGGUGGCCGGGAAGUUCAGAAUAAACGCAGGCAUGAAUGAACAGGUGUAUGAAAAUCCUGAUGCCUAUGCCCCUGCCACAGUGACGGGAAAUUAAGAAUCCAUUAGACAGCUCUUCAUGAGGAAUCGAGAGGACCAGGACACU